rnacentral:rRNA from 1 species
GACGAACGCUGGCGGCGUGCUUAACACAUGCAAGUCGAACGCUGAAGCUCAGCUUUUGUUGGGUGGAUGAGUGGCGAACGGGUGAGUAACACGUGAGUAACCUGCCUCCUUCUUUGGGAUAACGCCCGGAAACGGGUGCUAAUACUGGAUAUUCACUGGUCUUCGCAUGGGGGUUGGUGGAAAGGGUUUUUCUGGUGGGGGAUGGGCUCGCGGCCGAUCAGCUUGUUGGUGGGGUGAUGGCCUACCAAGGCUUUGACGGGUAGCCGGACUGAGAGGGUGACCGGGCACAUGGGGACUGAGAUAGGGCCCAGACUCCUACGGGGGGCAGCAGUGGGGAAAAUUGCACAAUGGGCGCAAGACUGAUGCAGCGACGCCGCGUGAGGGAUGGAGGCCGUCGGGUUGUGAACCUCUUUCGCUCAUGGUCAAGCCGCAACAAUGGUUGUGGUGAGGGUAGUGGGUAAAGAAGCGCCGGCUAACUACGUG